GGCAUGUCACGCAGUGGACUGGGCCCUUUCAGGGGGAACUGGUCCAGCCCUGUGCCUCAUUAACAAUGGGGCCUGAUGGAGAGCAGCUGGUCUCUCUAACGAGCCAGAGUGGAGCAGGAAGAGGAAGCUGUGGCAGAGCCUGCAGAGAGCAGGAGGUCUGUGACUGGGGGGAGGGUUUGGCCUGAGCCAGAGAUCUGAAGAAGGCUGAGGGUGAAGGCAACAGCAGAGCACUUUGCCUGGUGGCCUCUCAAAGCCAGAGAAUAGGCAGCAUCGAGUGAGUGUUGGACCUUCUCCUGGGGAGGAAGGGACACAAGUGAGAUGGGGGCAGGGUAAAACCUCAGCUUUCUCAACACCCAGUCCCGUGAUCUAACCAUUGUACUUCCUCACUUCUAAACUGGGAGCCUAUUCUGAUGGAUCUGAUCUUAGCACAGAAUCUGGUGCUCAAAGCUUCCUGAUGUCUGAGAGUCAGUGAAAUACAGGUGCUCUUAGGUUCAAGUUCCUGGCAGAGUGAAUUGCUCCCUGACAUCCGCAAGAACCUGCAAAGUGAUUUGCUCUUCGAUAUCUGUUUCAAAUUCAAUAAACUUU